CUACCUUUGGGUUAACACGCGGACUCCAAAACCUUCUUUAGGGUCCGACCCGUUUUUUUAUUCAAUGACUACCAGUGUUUUCUUUCUCCCCGUAUGAUUCUUUCAAACCCUAAUUUCUACAUGCCCCACAUCAGAGAAAGCAGCCGCUCCAUCUUCAUUUAAUCUUGGGGUUUACGGUGGUAGCGACAGAAGAUUUCUCAUAGAUAUUGGGUUCUUAUAUUCAUGAGUCAGGACACGCGAAGUGAUGGGGUGAAGCCAUGUUGUUGGUAGAAGAAUGGAAGGGAGCUGUUGUAGAUAUCAAGCGGGUUGCAGAAAAAUCGCCUCAGGUAGUUUAAGCCCGAUUGUUAUGUUAAGGCUCUUACGAACAUGUGACUGACUAGGAAAACACCAUAAAGCAAUUGAAAGCACAA